UUCCUGUUUCAUCACUCAGUCAGCGUGGGUCGGGCAUGUGAUGCUGCCCUCGCGCUCUUACUGUUGCCGGCACCCCAGCGCAGCACUGCAGGAGAGGAGACAGAGAGACAGCCCUCACUGCUGGGAGCUAAGCUCUCCGGCUGUCAGGGGGCGGAGCCAAUCUCAGGCAGACGUUACAGACAGAAGGCCCACACUCCGGAGGAGCAGAGGUGACAGGAAGUGUCGCCACCUUUCUCCUGGAUCUGAUGCUCCGCCCCCCUGUAGUGUCUCUAGGGAGAGACAUGAUGACAUGGGGGUUGAUGAGGAGGCAUUCCAGCUCACAGUGCAGCAGCCCAGUGAGUCCGGAGUCAGACCUCCGGUGACCUUUUCCCCACCUGCCGUCAGUCACAGAGCUUGAGGUGAAACAAGGCUCUCAUCUAAUGAACAAUUCACCCAAAACACCCCCGAUGCGCUGCAUGCAGGGAAGGUGUGGAACGUGAGAGACAUCGAUGGGAACGAACAAGUGACGGGGUAUACCUCCGUAAAGACAUCUGAUUAUUCAGAGAUGCGAAUUACAAUGGCAGCGCUGGGAACCAAUGAGCAGCCGCUACAAGACUAAUCAGUCUUGGGACUGUGCUAACGAGAGAGGACAAUACAGCGUUACUGCCGACAUACUAGGACACCAGCUUCACUCUAUUCCUAUGAGGAUGGAGGGAAUACAUGAUCCUGAACACUGGGAUCCCGACAGGCGGUAUAUUAACCACAUACCGGAUGGAGGUAUGGACAGCUGCAUACACCCAGGAGAGUCAGGAGAUUGGUAAGACAGACCACAGCAAUAUACCAAUUAAAGUUUAGGAUGCCAUUUGCAAGAACUUUUAAAUGAACCGAUAGAUCUUGCUAAACCCACGGAGGACAGAUCCACCUCAUGAGGGUAAUAAAAAUCUUAUUACAUAAAAUCUGUCCCCAUCACAACACGUGGAAUAUCAUAAAUGGACUUUUUGAAGAUUGACACAUACCAUGGCAAUAUCUGGACUUUUCGAUAGGGCUAUUUGAGAGUGAAUUGUAUGUGUAUAUGUGCAGUGUUUA